UACCAGCACCCCGAGUGGUCGGGACGUUUAUUGGGCCUAAAGCAUCCGUAGCCGGUUCUACAAGUCUUCCGUUAAAUCCACCUGCUUAACAGAUGGGCUGCGGAAGAUACUAUGGAGCUAGGAGGCGGGAGAGGCAAGCGGUACUCGAUGGGUAGGGGUAAAAUCCGUUGAUCCAUUGAAGACCACCAGUGGCGAAGGCGGCUUGCCAGAACGCGCUCGACGGUGAGGGAUGAAAGCUGGGGAGUGGCA
rnacentral:rRNA from 1 species